rnacentral:tRNA from 1 species
AUUUAAAUAGCUUAAUAAAAGCAUAACUCUGAAGAUGUUAAUAUAGAGACCUCUCUUUUAAAU